AGAGUUUGAUCCUGGCUCAGGACGAACGCUGGCGGCGUGCUUAACACAUGCAAGUGGAGCGACGAACCUGACUUCGGUCAGGGGCAGAGCCGCGAACGGGUGAGUAACACGUGGGUUACCUGCCCCGUUGACAGGGACAACCCGGGGAAACCCGGGCUAAUACCUGAUGUGCCCCUUGGGGGAAAGGAAGCUUCGGCCUCCGCAACGGGAUGGGCCCGCGGUGCAUUAGCUUGUUGGUUGGGUAACGGCCUACCAAGGCGACGAUGCAUAGCUGGUCUGAGAGGACGAUCAGCCACACUGGGACUGAGACACGGCCCAGACUCCUACGGGAGGCAGCAGUGGGGAAUCUUGCGCAAUGCGCGAAAGCGUGACGCAGCAACGCCGCGUGGAGGAAGACGGCCUUCGGGUUGUAAACUCCUUUCAGUUGGGACGAAGGGUACUAGGUGAAUAGCCUGUGUAUUUGACGGUACCUUCAGAAGAAGCCCCGGCUAACUACGUGCCAGCAGCCGCGGUAAUACGUAGGGGGCAAGCGUUGUCCGGAAUCAUUGGGCGUAAAGCGCGUGUAGGCGGCCUUGUAAGUCCGUUCUGAAAGUCCGGGGCUCAACCCCGGGAGGCGGAUGGAUACUGCAAGGCUCGAGUACGGAAGAGGCGAGUGGAAUUCCCGGUGUAGCGGUGAAAUGCGCAGAUAUCGGGAGGAACACCAAUGGCGAAGGCAGCUCGCUGGGACGUUACUGACGCUGAGACGCGAAAGCGUGGGGAGCAAACAGGAUUAGAUACCCUAGUAGUCC
rnacentral:rRNA from 1 species